GACGAACCGUGCGAACGUUGUUCGGAUUCACUGGGCUUAAAGGGCGCGUAGGCGGGUGGUCAAGUCAGGGGGUGAAAGCCCACGGCCCAACCGUGGAAGUGCCUUUGAUACUGACUGUCUUGAGGGAGGUAGGGGCAUGCGGAACUUCCGGUGGAGCGGUGAAAUGCGUAGAUAUCGGAAGGAACGCCGGUGGCGAAAGCGGCGUGCUGGACCUCUGCUGACGCUGAGGCGCGAAAAGCCAGGGGGA
rnacentral:rRNA from 1 species